UGUUUUCCAGACUUUGUAAAAAUUUAUGUUUUUUCUGCUUAGAGUUAAUUGAGUUAGUCCAUUGUCUUCGUUAAUUGUAUCACAGGCAGAGGGGAGGGAUUGUGUACACUGUAUGGGAGUGACUGAAUGUAAAAUACUGUUUUGAUUGGCUUGUUGUUCCUGUGUCCCUGUGCCCCACAAGGUCCACCUGGGUGGUAACCUUGUGGGGAAAACUGUAUAAAAGGCAGUGUGCCACAAUAAGCACCGGCCGUGCCAGUGUCCGGCGGAUUUUCCUCCUCAUGGUCUUUAUCUUGGAUGGUGGUAGAAGGAGUGGUCCUUCCACUGAUUUGACGGUGAAACCCAGGAGUUCUAAGGACUGAGAGGGUUCUAUGACCAACUUGUCCCAGUUGAUGAG